rnacentral:rRNA from 1 species
AUGAACGCUGGCGGCGUGCCUAAUACAUGCAAGUCGAGCGAACGGACGAGAAGCUUGCUUCUCUGAUGUUAGCGGCGGACGGGUGAGUAACUCGUGGAUAACCUACCUAUAAGACUGGGCUAACUUCGGGAAACCGGAGCUAAUACCGGAUGAUAUUUUGAACCGCAUGGUUCCAAAGUGAAAGACGGUCUUGCUGUCACUUAUAGAUGGAUCCGCGCUGCAUUAGCUAGUUGGUAAGGUAACGGCUUACCAAGGCAACGAUGCAUAGCCGACCUGGGAGGGUGAUCGGCCACACUGGACCUGAGACACGGUCCAGACCCCUACGGGAGGCAGCAGUGGGAAAUCUUCCGCAAUGGGCGAAAGCCUGACGGAGCAACGCCGCGUGAGUGAUGAAGGUCUUCGGAUCGUAAAACUCUGUUAUUAGGGAAGAACAUAUGUGUAAGUAACUGUGCACAUCUUGACGGUACCUAAUCAGAAAGCCACGGCUAACUACGU